rnacentral:rRNA from 1 species
UACGUAGGGUGCAAGCGUUGUCCGGAAUUAUUGGGCGUAAAGAGUGCGUAGGUGGCGCCAUAAGUCGGGUGUGAAAUCUCGGGGCUUAACUCCGAAACUGCAUUCGAUACUGUGGUGCUUGAGGACUGGAGAGGAGACUGGAAUUCAUGGUGUAGCAGUGAAAAUGCGUAGAGAUCAUGAGGAAGACCAGUGGCGAAGGCGGGUCUCUGGACAGUUCCUGACACUGAGGCACGAAGGCCAGGGGAGCAAACGGG